UGUCCGCGUUUCUGUUUCCGUGCUACAGUCAUAUGGGAAAUCAAUGUGGUUAUAGAAUCAAAUUGAUUUCACCUGAGGUUCACAUCAUAUAUGGUCGCCAGUCACCAUUAAUCAAUUAGAAAUCGGAACAGAUAUUUCAUUGGAUUCUAAUAAAUGUAAAGUGUUAACUGUUUCAUUGGUAUGGUAUAUUAUUAUGAUUUAUUAUUUAUCAAGGUUUGCAUUAUAUGUUUUAAAUG
rnacentral:misc_RNA from 1 species